rnacentral:rRNA from 1 species
CUACGUGCCAGCAGCCGCGGUAAUACGGAAGGUCCAGGCGUUAUCCGGAUUUAUUGGGUUUAAAGGGAGCGUAGGCCGUUUGAUAAGCGUGCUGUGAAAUUUAGAGGCUCAACCUCUACCGUGCAGCGCGAACUGUCAGACUUGAGUGCGUAGUAGGUAGGCGGAAUUCGUGGUGUAGCGGUGAAAUGCUUAGAUAUCACGAAGAACUCCGAUUGCGAAGGCAGCUUACCGUAUCGCAACUGACGCUGAUGCUCGAAGGUGCGGGUAUCGAACAGGAUUAGAUACCCUGGUAGUCCGCACAGUAAACGAUGGAUGCUCGCUGUUGGCCAUUUUGGUCAGUGGCUUAGCGAAAGCGUUAAGCAUCCCACCUGGGGAGUACGCCGGCAACGGUGAAACUCAAAGGAAUUGACGGGGGCCCGCACAAGCGGAGGAACAUGUGGUUUAAUUCGAAGCAACGCGAAGAACCUUACCAGGUCUUGACAUCCCUCUGACCGCUCUAGAGAUAGAGUUUUC